AUACGGAGGAUCCGAGCGUUAUCCGGAUUUAUUGGGUUUAAAAGGAGCGUAGGUGGAUUGUUAAGUCAGUUGUGAAAGUUUGCGGCUCAACCGUAAAGUUGCAGUUGAAACUGGCAGUCUUGAGUACAGUAGAGGUGGGCGGAAUUCGUGGUGUAGCGGUGAAAUGCUUAGAUAUCACGAAGAACUCCGAUUGCGAAGGCAGCUCACUAGACUGUUACUGACACUGAUGCUCGAAAGUGUGGGUAUCAAACAGGAUUAGAUACCCUGGUAGUCCACACAGUAAACGAUGAAUACUCGCUGUUUGCGAUAUACAGUAAGCGGCCAAGCGAAAGCAUUAAGUAUUCCACCUGGGGAGUACGCCGGCAACGGUGAAACUCAAAUGAAUUGACGGGG
rnacentral:rRNA from 1 species